GUCCUCGUAGCGUAGUGGUCAGCACUUGAUGCUUAAGCGUUUAAUUUACACCCAGCGAACGCUGCUUUGGCAGCGAGAGACGUCGGUUCGAACCCGACCGGGGAUA